CUUCUCGAAACUAAACCAUGAUCUGCUCCCAGGAGAGCAGGAGAAAGUAAAUGUAGGAACUGCUUUUUCAAUCCAUUUACUGCUACAAGCACCGGCGGCUUUCCCCCUGCACUUCCAUGUUGUGAUCGGCAAGCUCAGGUAAAAGAUUCUGUGAGAACCCUGAGAUACUGUAUCAGACGAUGAGGAACUGGCAGUAGUACAAUGAACGGUGUAGUGAAGCGUCUCCAGCCAUGAAUAUAGGACACAACCUAGAUCUGUGGAUAAC
rnacentral:lncRNA from 1 species